GAAAGGUUAAUAAGAUAGGUACUUAUCACUCCGUUUUUCUGUAUGCUUAACAAAACACUGUUGAAAUCCUGAGAACUGUUUGCUAAUCUUGUUCCCAGAAUGUGCUGUCCCCAACUGCCAAACUGCAGAAUGCACUCCCUCACUCGGUUGCAGGCAAACUGCCCACUCGCCCUGACCCGUCAAUGAACUUCCCUCCCUGCCCUCUCCAAGAAAAGUAUAUAAGCUCUGCUUAAGCUGUUCCCAGGGCUCUAUCUCUCUUUGCUCUAGUGAGCUCUGAGCCCCAGCAUGCUGGUCCCCAAAUAAACCCUUUUGCUGUUGCAUGAGACAGUCUCUUGGUGGUCUCUUCCUCCGACAUUUCGCUGGUCCCUUACAUUUGGUGCAUUGGCUGGGAAGUGCACAUCGCCGGACAGGGAGACCCCCAACAGACUCCUUUGGGGGUAGAGUUAAAGCUCUUGAAAAAACUCAGUGAUACCUGUGGAAACAGCUGGCCACUGCCUACCAACCUGGGGACGAAGGAACUCCACACCAAUAUCAAGUGGGAAACUUCAUCUAUGUAAGACGACAUCAGGUGUCAUCCCUGGAACCCUGCUGGAAAGGACCAUACCAGGUGCUACUUAUAACACCUACAGCGGUAAAGGUAGACGGAAUCACUUCCUGGAUCCAUGUCUCUCAUCUCAAGCCUGCGCCCUGUCCAGACUCUGGCUGAAAAUUGGAAAAGACUGGUAACCCUCUCAAAUUGCGUAUUCACCGUGUGGAUAAGGCUAUGGACUCUCCCCUUGACCACCAGUAGUCCUAACCCCUUUCCCAUUAUCCAUGGAGCUGCUCUCAGCCCCGCCUUCCCCGUCUUCCCCCUCUGUACCAGGCCCACAGAAAAGUCUUAACUGACCUUCUCCAGAAGUCUUCACCAUGGCUGACUUUAGGACUUUCAGCAAAAGAGUCCCUAUAAAAGAGUUCAGUAUAGAUAAACUUCCUCUUUUCAUGUUGCCCUGUUCUACUUGGCCACUGGCUGGAAAAAUCAGCACUCCUAAGCUAGACACCCCCUUACUAGUUUUUCACAAAAUAUGUGAACAAGGCCUCUGGCCUUGAGCUGGGGCUUCACAGAGAUGGCUACAUUUCUAAGAUAAAAAAGUUAUCAACUGGGCUCCAUGGUAACAGCUGGCAGAAAAAAAAAAGAAAAGAAAGAAAAAUUUCUCCCCCUCCCAGGUGUCCUUGAAAAGUUAACUUGCCCAGAACAGAGGAAAAAAACAGAAACAAAAACUACUUUUUGUGAACUUAUGCAGACUGUGAACUUCUGAGCCCCUUCCCUUACAUGUUGAGUACAAAAUUCUAAAACUACCUAAACUUGGGGUUCAGGGGAUUAAUUGAUUACAACAGAAGCAAUGCCCUCUGAAUCCGGUUGCAACCAAAUAGGACUGUUUCCCUGUCUUUGGUGCUAUCUUAGGUGCCUUGCCUUGUCCGUCCCUACAACAGUAUAAUUCUAUAUACUUAAACAUUAUUUAUGUUUUCAUAAAUUGGUCAACAGAUGUGAUUAAUUGUAUAAUGGUGCAGAUGUUUCCCAGAGUGCUCUAUCAUGACACAGGUUCAUUUGAAAAUCAAAUAUGGGGGCAUACAACCCGGUUUUGCCAGGAACCUGUAUCCCUCACUUUAGCCAUCCUUUUAGGAAUAGGAGUUGCUGCAGGGGUGGACACAGGGACCACUGCCCUGGUCCGUGGGACACAACAAAUGACCCAAUUAGAAACAGCAAUGGACCAAAACGUAAAGAUAUUAGAAACCUCCAUGACAGCUUUGCAGGAAUCUUUAACCUCUCUCUCUGAAGUUGUUUUACAGAACAGGCGAGGGUUGGACCUCCUCUUCCUGAGAGAAGAGGGCCUUUGUGCUGCAUUGAGGGAAGAAUGUUGUUUUUAUGCCGACCAUACUGGAGUUGUAAAAGAAUCUAUGAGUAAACUAAGAAGACGCCUUGAAGAGCAUCAGAGAGAGAGAUAGGCCCAAAAAGGGUGGUAUGAGUCUUGGUUCACACAGUCCCCCUGGUUAACUACGCCUUUAUCAGCCCUGGCCGGUCCUUUAAUAAUUCUUAUAUUGUUGCUAACUCUAGGACCCUGUUUGCUCAACCAUGUAGUUUCCUUUCUCCAAGCCCAAAUUGGACAAGUCAAACUUAUGGUAAUCAGACAACAAUAUACCCCACUAGCAGACACAGAAUGUGACACCCCCCAAUGAUCACUUUUAUGAUUAAAAGUGGCCAGAAGAAGAAGUGGGGAAUGAAAGGUUAAUAAAAUAGGUACUUAUCACUCCGUUUUUCUGUAUGCUUAACAAAACACUGUUGAAAUCCUGAGAACUGUUUGCUAAUCUUGUUCCCAGAAUGUGCUGUCCCCAACUGCCAAACUGCAGAAUGCACUCCCUCAGUCAGUUGCAGGCAAACUGCCCACUCGCCCUGACCCGUCAAUGAACUUCCCUCCCUGCCCUCUCCAAGAAAAGUAUAUAAGCUCUGCUUAAGCUGUUCCCAGGGCUCUAUCUCUCUUUGCUCUAGUGAGCUCUGAGCCCCAGCAUGCUGGUCCCCAAAUAAACCCUUUUGCUGUUGCAUGA